rnacentral:rRNA from 1 species
AUGUGCGACCUCGUGGCCCGCACGGGGCGCCACCAGCAGCGGUACGAAGACGGCAGACGGCUCGUCGCCGGGUGCAUACCAUUCAGGUAUAGAGCUGAUGAAACUUCUGGUGAUGAACAGAAAAAAGUUGUUGAAGUUCUCAUGAUAAACUCCCAAAGCGGACCAGGUUUAUUAUUCCCCAAGGGAGGAUGGGAGAACGAUGAAACGGUUGAACAAGCAGCUGCUCGAGAAGCUAUAGAAGAAGCUGGAGUUCGAGGAGAUAUAGUGCAAUUUCUAGGUUUCUACGAUUUCAAGAGCAAGACGCAUCAGGACGCGUGCUGCCCCGAGGGCAUGUGCAGAGCGGCAGUGUUUGCGCUGCACGUGAAGGAGGAGCUGGCCUCAUGGCCCGAGCAGAGCACCCGCCGGAGGACCUGGCUGACGGUCCCCGAAGCCACGUCACAAUGUCGAUACCAGUGGAUGCAAGAGGCCUUGCUGACGGGCUUCUCUGAGUGGCAUGACAACUGGAGCAAAGGCGGCAGUGCAGGUGGCGACCCAAUCUAA